AACAAUCACAUUCACCAACUUCAAACCCGACACCUCAGAGGCCUGAGGCAGCACAUGGCACAAAGCCGCUGUUUUCCUCUGUUCAUACACAACAACCAUACUCACCAACUUCAAACUCGAUACCUCAAAGGAAAGAAAACUACCCUGAAACAACUCAUGGACCAAGGCCUCUGUUUUCCCCUGGUUAUACACAACAAUCACAUUCACCAACACCUCAGAGGAAAGAAAGCCAUCCUGAGGCAGCACACGGCACAAAGCCUCUGUUUACCCCUAUUCAUACACAGAAACCAUAUUCACCAACUUCAAACCCGAUACCUCAAAGGAAAGAGAACUACCCUGAAACAACUCAUGGACCAAGGCCUCUGUUUACCCCUAUUCAUACACAGAAACCAUAUUCACCAACUUCAAACCCGAUACCUCAAAGGAAAGAAAGCUACUCUGAAACAGCACACGGCACAAAGCCUCUGUUUACCCCUGUUCAUACACAGCAACCAUAUUCACCAACUUCAAACCCGAUACCUCAAAGGAAAGAAAGCUACCCUGAAACAGCACACGGUGCAAAGCCUUUGUUUUCCUCUGGUUAUACACCACAAUCACAUCCACCAACUUCAAACCCAACAC
rnacentral:lncRNA from 1 species